rnacentral:rRNA from 1 species
AAUAGAUACCCAGGUAGUCCACGCCGUAAACGAUGGAUACUAGCUGUUGGGGGCGACCUCAGUGGCUAAGCGAAAGUGAUAAGUAUCCCACCUGGGGAGUACGUUCGCAAGAAUGAAACUCAAAGGAAUUGACGGGGGCCCGCACAAGCGGUGGAGCAUGUGGUUUAAUUCGAUGAUACGCGAGGAACCUUACCAAGGCUUAAAUGCAGACUGACCGUUUUGGAAACAGAACUUUCGCAAGACAGUCUACAAGGUGCUGCAUGGUUGUCGUCAGCUCGUGCCGUGAGGUGUCAGGUUAAGUCCUAUAACGAGCGCAACCCCUGUUGUUAGUUGCCAGCGAGUAGUGUCGGGAACUCUAACAAGACUGCCAGUGCAAACUGUGAGGAAGGUGGGGAUGACGUCAAAUCAUCACGGCCCUUACGCCUUGGGCUACACACGUGCUACAAUGGCCGGUACAGAGAGCAGCCACCUCGCGAGGGGGAGCGAAUCUACAAAGCCGGUCACAGUUCGGAUCGGAGU